rnacentral:misc_RNA from 1 species
GAAAUUGGAAAUUUUCCCUUCCUAAGUCAGCAGAGGCUACAUAAAGCAUCACAAAAGUAACCCAUGUGAUACAGCACAGAGCAGAAGUAUAUAAGUAGUCCAAAGAGCAAAUUACCUCUUGAACAUAUCAAAUCAAGAAUGAUCACAGAGAAUAUGCAAUGGAUCUGAUUAAACUUCCGAUGUUCCAAUUUCAUAACUCAAAACUAAAACUCACUAAAAGGCCAAAACCCACUCAAUCUCCCGAAAUACAAAAACCCUAAUCUACAUCUCACAAUAGCUU